GCUGCGAUGGCCGAGUGGUUAAGGCGUUGGACUCGAAAUCCAAUGGGAUAUUCCCGCGCAGGUUCGAAUCCUGUUCGCUGCG
rnacentral:tRNA from 1 species